GGAGUGCCCAACCAAGGUCAAAGUCAAAACAUGAUCCAAGCCAGUAUGGAAGAAAUUGCACCAGACUUUACCUUAUCUUCAUUGGAUGGUGAACUUUUAUUUGGAUGUUGUGAUUGAAAAGGGAAGAGGAGUCCCAAGCAUAGGUUUGUUUUUGACAAAAUUGUACUUUUGUAAAAAGAAAAAAAG